rnacentral:rRNA from 1 species
GACUCGGUUGGGCGGUCCGCUUAACGGCGUGUACUGUCUGACUGGGCCUUACCUCUUGGUGAGCCAGUGUGCCCUUUAUUGGUGUGCAUUGGGGAACCAGGACUUUUACCUUGAGAAAAUUAGAGUGUUCAAAGCAGGCGUUCGCUUGAAUACAUUAGCAUGGAAUAAUGGAAUAGGGCU